rnacentral:rRNA from 1 species
AACGAACGCUGGCGGCAUGCCUAACACAUGCAAGUCGAACGAGACCUUCGGGUCUAGUGGCGCACGGGUGCGUAACGGGUGGGAACCUGCCCUUAGGUUCGGAAUAACUCCCCGAAAGGGGUGCUAAUACCGGAUAAUUUCUUCGGACCAAAGAUUUAUCGCCUUUGGAUGGGCCCGCGUUGGAUUAGCUAGUUGGUAGGGUAAAAGCCUACCAAGGCGACGAUCCAUAGCUGGUCUGAGAGGAUGAUCAGCCACACUGGGACUGAGACACGGCCCAGACUCCUACGGGAGGCAGCAGUGGGGAAUAUUGGACAAUGGGCGAAAGCCUGAUCCAGCAAUGCCGCGUGAGUGAUGAAGGCCUUAGGGUUGUAAAGCUCUUUUACCCGGGAUGAUAAUGACAGUACCGGGAGAAUAAGCUCCGGCUAACUCCGUG